CGGGGGGGGAGCCGUGAACUGUAGGGAUGGCUAUCGUCGCCGGCGUUCGUGGCGCGGGUCGUGCGUCUAUCACCGUCGGCCAGGGCAGAGGGGAUGUGUUCCUUCAUGGCCAACCGAGCAGAUCCGGAGGCAAAGAUCAUGGCAAUGGCAGUGCGGCCAUCCCCGUCGACCGUUCGUCAGGAGGAGGACAAUCCACAGGAUUCACGGAUGACAUCAAUCGGAGCGGAUAUGCCACCCGCGGGGCUCGUUAUGGUGGCAUAAGCAGAGGCCCGGAGGUUCCAUUGCCAAUUCCAACACCAAAGAAAGGUAAUGCAAAUGAUGUAACAAAUAUAUGGUGUCAUGGAAAAUCGUUGGAAGGAAAUGCAUGGUCUUGUUCUUAUUGUGGGGCUGUUAAACUUGGUGGGGGUGCAACCCGAUUCAAGCAGCAUCUAGCAGGACUGGGCCCUGAGUGUUACUCUUGCCUGAGUGCGCCUCAUCAUGUAGUUGCUGUUUUUCGGAAAGGCAUUCCGGAGGGAAUUGAUAGGAGGAGGAAGGCCAAAGAAGGAAAGAAAAGAGUAGUAGAUGAGGUCAACCAUCUGAACAAUCUAGGUACAUCAAUACAUAUUGAUUGUGAAGAUGAGGACGAUGAGAUACUACGACAGAGCCUACAGAAUUCAUUACAUGAAGAUCAUGGGAGAACUAGUGGUGUUAGAGGAACUGUAGGCAGCUCAGGGGGUGUCAAAGGGAGCAGCUCAGGGGGUGUCAAAGGGAGCAGCUCAGGGGGUGUCAAAGGGAGCAGCUCAGGUGGUGUCAAAGACUUCUUUGAUGUUGAUUUGGCAUAUAGCAGGACUAGGCCGCAGCAGACAAUGGAGGUGUGUAUUAACAAGGCGGAAUAUGAAUCAAGGAUUGGGAAGGCUUGGGCCAAAUGGUUUCACGCUAAUGACAUCCCUGGGCACAAAGCCAAUUGUCCAUAUUUUGUAGGACCCGUGAAAUUGACUCAAGACCUUGGCAAAGGGGUGCCUGCCCCUAAAGGGAUAGAUAUUGAUGGAAUUUAUUUGAAUUCCAACUAUGAAGAAUUGCAGCAGUAUGUGGCCAAGUUCAAAGACGAUUGGCCCACCUAUGGUGUUACUAUCAUGUCAGAUUCGUGGACCGGCCCUUCUCGGAUGAGCAUUAUAAACUUUAUGGUGUUCUCCAACGGGCGUAUGUAUUUCCACAAAUCUGUUAAUGCCACUGGACACAUGCAAAAUUCUAAGUUUGUUUAUGAGCACAUUAAAGAAGUGAUCGAAGAGAUAGGGCAGGAACAUGUCGUCCAGCUUGUGACCGACAAUGGCUCUAACUUCAAGAAAGCAUGUCUUGAUCUUGUUGUCGAUUUCCCACACAUCACAUGGCAGCCAUGUGCGGCUCACACAAUUAACCUCAUGUUAAAGGAGAUGGGAUGUUUUCCUGAGAUUAAUACAGUGGUCAACAGUUGUAAGAGAAUCUGUAGAUUCAUGCACAAUCAUUCAACUUUGCAUGCUGAAAUGCAGAAGCACAUAGGUGGAGAGUUGGUGCGACCGAAUGCAACAAGGUUUGGAACAAACUUUAUGUUCCUAGAAAGCUUUUGGGAUAAGCAAGAGAAAUUCAAGGUGUGGAUGACAUCUCCCGAGUGGAAAAAUAGUUCAUGGAGUUCCGAGGUUGAUUAUGACUACACAUAUGAUUGUUUGACAAGUAGGAAAUGGUGGGAUGACGUGAAGAUGGUGUUAGAUGUAAUCGGCCCAAUAUAUACAAUACUUCGAUAUGCUGAUUCACAGAAGCUUGGGUCACUUUCUGGAUUUAUGAAAAGGAUGAUGCAGGCUAGGCAUCACUUGAGUUCUUCUUUUCCUGAAGAAUCUCUAGACCAACAGAAGUACCUAAAGGUGGUCGACAAAAGGGUCGAGCAUUUAUACCAAAAUACAUUGAUGGUUGCAGCCGGUGUUCUUGACCCGGAAGGACACUACAAGUAUAACUUUGGAACAAGUCUAUCACACAAGAGGGCACUCAACGCAGCACUUAGGAAGUUGGCUAGUCCUUCGGAGUUCAUUAAAAUGAUUCCUGAAAUUGACAUGUAUACAUUGAUUACGAGUCGAGGGACUAGUCGAGACUAGUCACUAGACUAGUCUAUGAGUCGCAUUCUGUGUGUCGACUAGAAAUCUCGUGUAGACUAGUUCGUCGAGUCGAGGAGUCGCACGACUGUCGUAGACUAGUCGUGCACCUUGAGUCGUUCGACUCAAUUUUUUUAGGGAUUGGGAGGGGAUAAGUGAGCCAGCCACCCUGCCCCUUUCCCUCCAUUGCUUAUGCUCUUCAUGGAUCUGCACUCCUCUGCUCUGGCCCUUUCCCUCCAUUGCUUCUGCUCUCCCUAGAUCUGCCCUACGGUCUCCCUCUGCUGCCUUCUGGCUACUGGAUCCGCUCGUCCCUCAGGUUGCAGUAAGCAAGCAAGCAUACUAGCAAAUUUCAAGAUCCUUAGGUCUAAAGUGCAAUGCCUAUGCCGGAAAUAUCUCAAGUACUGUAUUCAACAGCUGCAGCUCAGACCAAUGAGCAAUAUGAUCCAUCAAAGGGUCCUGCAAGAAGCCAACUAGGAGCAAGGAUCCAACAUGGAAAUAUGAUUACUGGACUAAUCUGCAGGACAAAUUGACGCUCCAAUGCACUUUCUAUAGUAUAUAUUACAUAUUAAUACUAGGUUUUAGUAAUUGAUUACUGCAAGUUGUGAACUACAGUACCAUGUCGACUAGUCCAGCAGUAGUCUAGACUAGUCACGAUUAGUCUAUGAGUCUCAACCUUCGGACGACUCAUCGACUCGUAAACGUUGCAUGUAUACCAAU